rnacentral:tRNA from 1 species
GCCGCCUUAGCUCAGUUGGUAGAGCAAUUCACUCGUAAUGAAUAGGUCGCGAGUUCGACUCUCGCAGGCGGCC